GACAAGGGAACAAGGACUAAUAAGGAACAGGUGACACUAGGCUGGGUAAACAGGUGAAACACAUUAGACAAUCACAAGGGCGGGAAAACUAAAGACAGGAAGUUAAACUAGACAAGACAAGGUAGAAAACAGAGACUUCAAAAU